UGCCCGGCCAUUAACCUAAACUACUCCCACACACAGUAUUCGCCAGAGAACUACAAGCAUAAGCCAAAAACUCCAAGGACUUGACGGUAUCCUAACACCCUAGAGGAGCCUGUCCCAUAAUCGACACCCCACGUUCAACCUCACCUUCCCUUGCCCCACAGCCUAUAUACCGCCGUCGUAAAGCCCACCUUAUGAAAGCACUCACGUGGACAAAAUAGCACCCCUAAUACGACAGGUCAAGGUGUAGCUCAUGAGAAGGGCGCCGAUGGGCUACAAUCUCUACCCCGAGCACUGUAAAAGGCAUGAAACAGCCUUCCAAAGACGGAUUUAGCAGUAAAUUUAACAAGGUCGUUAACUUGAAGCCCGCCCUAGGAUGCGUACAC
rnacentral:rRNA from 1 species